CAUGCCUUACACAUGCAAGUCGAACGGCAGCACGGGAGCAAUCCUGGUGGCGAGUGGCGAACGGGUGAGUAAUGUAUCGGAACGUACCAUUCAGUGGGGGAUAACGUAGCGAAAGUUACGCUAAUACCGCAUAUUCUGUGCGCAGGAAAGCAGGGGAUCGCAAGACCUUGCGCUGAUUGAGCGGCCGAUAUCAGAUUAGCUAGUUGGUGAGGUAAAGGCUCACCAAGGCGACGAUCUGUAGCGGGUCUGAGAGGAUGAUCCGCCACACUGGAACUGAGACACGGUCCAGACUCCUACGGGAGGCAGCAGUGGGGAAUUUUGGACAAUGGGGGCAACCCUGAUCCAGCCAUGCCGCGUGAGUGAAGAAGGCCUUCGGGUUGUAAAGCUCUUUCGGCCGGGAAGAAAUCGUAUGGGUUAAUACCCUGUGCGGAUGACGGUACCGGCAUAAGAAGCACCGGCUAACUACGUGCCAGCAGCCGCGGUAAUACGUAGGGUGCGAGCGUUAAUCGGAAUUACUGGGCGUAAAGCGUGCGCAGGCGGUUUUGUAAGACAGGCGUGAAAUCCCCGGGCUCAACCUGGGAACUGCGCUUGUGAC
rnacentral:rRNA from 1 species